rnacentral:lncRNA from 1 species
CAAACUUCUCCUUUUCCUUUGCAAUAUUCAAGUCAAUUCUCCAGCCCACUGACCUGAAGCCACAGAUAUCUAAAUUCUGGGUAAGGAAGCCCUUUGCUAACUCACAUUGAAGUGGGUCAGUUUGGCACAGGAAGAAAGUUCUCCAGCCGGUAGCCUCCACCAUCACAUUAACCCUACUAGUUCCUCUGGAUGAGAAGUUUUUUCUGCUUGGUGCCUCCACAGUGCCCAUCAUUGAAAACAAGAAGAUCCCAGAAAGCAUCAUUAUUAACUCACCACAUUUAUGGAGACCUACACUGGAUCCUAGGUCAGAACCCCUGUGAAGCUGAAUCACCUUUACUCUCCUAGAGACAGCAAGAUUGUUCCCCUCCACUGUGAGAUGGCAUCCCUUCUUCUACGUUUCACCAUUUCUGUUCACCUCAAGAUUUCCCUCAUACCCUGUUUGGCAAUUUCUGGAGCUCCCAACAUGACCAGUGUGAGGUAGGCAGACCAACUCUCCUCAUUUUAUUGGUCAUCCUAGAUAAAUAUUCAUAUCUGUAAUAUAGUUGUGUUAAUUUACCUAAGUGUGCUAAAGGCAGUAAUAAGUUAAUUGCUGAAGAAAAGAUUACAUUUUAACAAGACCCAUCUUCUCUAGAUAACGACACAACUCAAAAGUUUAAUAGUAUGUACUUUGUACUUCAGCUGGUGGAGAUGUUUUCGGAAAUAAGAACUUUGAUAGCCCAGAAAUCCCACCUCAUGGUCUCCACGUAAUUUAUGCACAGGGUCACAAAUGGAACAUUAUUUUCUGCCAUUUUAUGUACAGCAAAUGGAACCAGGUUCUGAAUUUGCUUAAUGUCAGUACUAUAAACUCAUAUACAUAAAAGGAAAACUUUAUCCAGAGAAUGACUAAAUUAUUAAGAGCCUGUGGUAAAUUUGUGUUUCCUGGAACUAGUUUUUAGGAAAAGAUGCUUUGGAAAACACCUCAGCAGAGGAUUAUUUAAGUUGAGUUCUUUUGGUUCCGAAGAAGGUAAUUG